AUCAUUUCUUGGCCUUUUGGCUAAGAUCAAGUGUACAUACAAGGGGAAGAUGAUGGGGGGAUUUAAGCAGAGGCGAGUAAUACACUUUAUUUAUUUUUUUGAGACAAGAGUCUCACUCUGUUGCCCUGGACAAAGUGCAGUGGUGUCAUUCUAGUUCACUAUGUUCUCACAGUCCUGGGCUCAAGUGAUCCUCCUUC